rnacentral:rRNA from 1 species
GGAAAACUUACCAGGAUAAGACAUAAGAAGGAUUGACAGAUUGAUUGUUCUUUCUUGAUGUUGUGGGUGGUGGUGCAUGGCCGUUCUUAGUUCGUGGAGUAAUCUGUCAGGUUAAUUCCGUUAACGAACGAGACCUUGUCUUGAUAAUUGAACAUUAUGUACAACAUAUUUGUUACAUUAUAAGGACUAUGUGUGUUUAACACAAGGAAGUUUAAGGCAAUAA